rnacentral:rRNA from 1 species
UGGGGAAUAUUGGACAAUGGGGGGAACCCUGAUCCAGCAAUGCCGCGUGUGUGAAGAAGGCCUGAGGGUUGUAAAGCACUUUCAGUGGGGAGGAGGAUUGACGGGUUAAGAGCUAGUUAAUUGGACGUUACCCACAGAAGAAGCACCGGCUAACUCCGUGCCAGCAGCCGCGGUAAUACGGAGGGUGCGAGCGUUAAUCGGAAUUACUGGGCGUAAAGGGUGCGUAGGUGGUUAUGUAAGUUAUGUGUGAAAUACCUGGGCUCAACCUGGGCUGGUCAGAUAAUACUGCGUGACUUGAGUAUGGGAGAGGGUAGUGGAAUUUCCGGUGUAGCGGUGAAAUGCGUAGAGAUCGGAAGGAACACCGGUGGCGAAGGCGGCUACCUGGCCUAAUACUGACACUGAGGCACGAAAGCGUGGGGAGCAAACAGGAUUAGAUACCCCCGUAGUCC